rnacentral:tRNA from 1 species
GUACGAGUAGCUCAGUUGGUAGAGUCCAGGAUUGUGAUUCCUGUCGUCGUGGGUUCGAGUCCCAUCUCGUACC